UACGUAGGGUGCGAGCGUUGUCCGGAAUUAUUGGGCGUAAAGGGCUCGUAGGCGGUUUGUCGCGUCGGGAGUGAAAACUCAGGGCUUAACCCUGAGCCUGCUUCCGAUACGGGCAGACUAGAGGUAUGCAGGGGAGAACGGAAUUCCUGGUGUAGCGGUGAAAUGCGCAGAUAUCAGGAGGAACACCGGUGGCGAAGGCGGGUCUCUGGGCCGAAACUGACGCUGAGGAGCGAAAGCGUGGGGAGCGAACAGG
rnacentral:rRNA from 1 species